rnacentral:rRNA from 1 species
AUGUAUUUAGAGUAUAACCUGCCCAAUGUAUUAAAUUAUGAAUGGCCGCGGUACUUUGACCGUGCUAAGGUAGCGUAAUCAGUUGGCUUUUAAAUGGAGUCAGGAAUGAAUGGAUAAACGGGGGUUAGCUGUCUCUUAUUUGUUUAAUUGAAAUUACCUUUCAAGUGAAAAGGCUUGAGUAUAUAAGAAGGACGAGAAGACCCUAAGAGUUUGACCUAUUGUAAAAAUAAGUAUUUAUAAGGGUUUUGUUGGGGUGACAAAGGAGCAAUAAUUUAAAUCUCCUUUAUUAUUAACAAGUCGAUUUUUAUAGGAAAGAAUAAACUACCUUAGGGAUAACAGCAUAAUUCUAUUAAUGAGUUUGUGACCUCGAUGUUGGACUAGGAAACUGGUAAGUUAGCCGCUUAUUAUGUAAGGUUCUUNNNNNNNNGNNNNNNNNACGUGAUCU